CCUACGGGUGGCAGCAGUGGGGAAUAUUGGACAAUGGGGGCAACCCUGAUCCAGCCAUGCCGCGUGUGUGAAGAAGGCCCUCGGGUUGUAAAGCACUUUCAGUGAGGAAGAACGCCUGGUGGUUAAUACCCAUCAGGAAAGACAUCACUCACAGAAGAAGCACCGGCUAACUCCGUGCCAGCAGCCGCGGUAAUACGGAGGGUGCGAGCGUUAAUCGGAAUUACUGGGCGUAAAGCGCGCGUAGGUGGCUUGAUAAGCCGGUUGUGAAAGCCCCGGGCUCAACCUGGGAACGGCAUCCGGAACUGUCAAGCUAGAGUGCAGGAGAGGAAGGUAGAAUUCCCGGUGUAGCGGUGAAAUGCGUAGAGAUCGGGAGGAAUACCAGUGGCGAAGGCGGCCUUCUGGACUGACACUGACACUGAGGUGCGAAAGCGUGGGGAGCAAACAGGAUUAGAUACCCCUGUAGUC
rnacentral:rRNA from 1 species